rnacentral:rRNA from 1 species
GAUGAACGCUGGCGGCGUGCCUAAUACAUGCAAGUCGAGCGAACAGAUGAGGAGCUUGCUCCUCUGACGUUAGCGGCGGACGGGUGAGUAACAGGUGGAUAACCUACCUAUAAGACUGGGAUAACUUCGGGAAACCGGAGCUAAUACCGGAUAAUAUAUUGAACCGCAUGGUUCAAUAGUGAAAGACGGUUUUGCUGUCACUUAUAGAUGGAUCCGCGCCGCAUUAGCUAGUUGGUAAGGUAACGGCUUACCAAGGCAACGAUGCGUAGCCGACCUGAGAGGGUGAUCGGCCACACUGGAACUGAGACACGGUCCAGACUCCUACGGGAGGCAGCAGUAGGGAAUCUUCCGCAAUGGGCGAAAGCUUGACGGAGCAACGCCGCGUGAGUGAUGAAGGUCUUCGGAUCGUAAAACUCUGUUAUUAGGGAAGAACAAAUGUGUAAGUAACUAUGCACGUCUUGACGGUACCUAAUCAGAAAGCCACGGCUAACUACGUG